rnacentral:rRNA from 1 species
CAGUAGCCGCGGGAAUACGUAGGUGGCAAGCGUUGUCCGGAAUUAUUGGGCGUAAAGGGCUCGCAGGCGGUUUCUUAAGUCUGAUGUGAAAGCCCCCGGCUCAACCGGGGAGGGUCAUUGGAAACUGGGAAACUUGAGUGCAGAAGAGGAGAGUGGAAUUCCACGUGUAGCGGUGAAAUGCGUUGAGAUCGGAAAGAACACCAACGGCGAAAGCACUCUGCUGGGCCGACACUGACACUGAGAGACGAAAGCUAGGGGAGCAAACAGGAUUAGAUACCCCAGUAGUCCCUGUCUCUUAUAA